GACAAAACGUUGCAACAAUGGGAGUGACGAUCAGAGUGUGACAGAUGGUUAUCAAUAAAAAUAUUAAAGAGAAUUUUCUCUAUUUUCCACUAUUGUGCAUAGGGUGUGUUUCUAUUUGAGCUUCACGUUGCGUCACAUUCUUAGAUUGAAAUUUAAAAUGCUAUAGUAUGCUCUCACAUUAUCACUUUCUUGUUAGUAUAAUGGGAAAAGAAGCUCAUCAAGUGCUUAUGUCUU
rnacentral:misc_RNA from 1 species